CCUAACACAUGCAAGUCGAGCGGUAACAGAAAGUAGCUUGCUACUUUGCUGACGAGCGGCGGACGGGUGAGUAAUGCUUGGGAACAUGCCUUGAGGUGGGGGACAACAGUUGGAAACGACUGCUAAUACCGCAUAAUGUCUACGGACCAAAGGGGGCUUCGGCUCUCGCCUUUAGAUUGGCCCAAGUGGGAUUAGCUAGUUGGUGAGGUAAUGGCUCACCAAGGCGACGAUCCCUAGCUGGUUUGAGAGGAUGAUCAGCCACACUGGGACUGAGACACGGCCCAGACUCCUACGGGAGGCAGCAGUGGGGAAUAUUGCACAAUGGGCGCAAGCCUGAUGCAGCCAUGCCGCGUGUGUGAAGAAGGCCUUCGGGUUGUAAAGCACUUUCAGUCAGGAGGAAAGGUUAGUAGUUAAUACCUGCUAGCUGUGACGUUACUGACAGAAGAAGCACCGGCUAACUCCGUGCCAGCAGCCGCGGUAAUACGGAGGGUGCGAGCGUUAAUCGGAAUUACUGGGCGUAAAGCGUACGCAGGCGGUUUGUUAAGCGAGAUGUGAAAGCCCCGGGCUCAACCUGGGAACUGCAUUUCGAACUGGCAAACUAGAGUGUGAUAGAGGGUGGUAGAAUUUCAGGUGUAGCGGUGAAAUGCGUAGAGAUCUAAGGAAUACCGAUGGCGAAGGCAGCCACCUGGGUCAACACUGACGCUCAUGUACGAAAGCGUGGGGAGCAAACGGGAUUA
rnacentral:rRNA from 1 species